rfam:Daedalea quercina L-15889 unplaced genomic scaffold DAEQTscaffold_62, whole genome shotgun sequence.
GGCCGACUGGCGAAAUGGCAUCGCGUCUGACUACGAUGCAUCUUGUGCGAAUAAUCAGGAGAUUGCAGGUUCGACCCCUGCGUCGGUCA